AUCUACAUUUGACUGUUGGAGGUACUUUAUCCAAUGCUGGGGUCAGCGGCCAGGCGUUUCGCCAUGGACCUCAAAUAAGUAAUGUUCAUCACCUGGAAGUCAUUACAGGUAAAUUAAGAAGUCCACUUGCUAAAUAUUAUGGCAGAAACAAUGAAAAGCCACCAUUUAUUAGUAAUCACAAGAAAAUAAAGCAACACAAAUCAUCAUUGUCUCUAGAACCGUGUUCUAGUAGUUACACAUGAAAUUACUGCGAAGACUGAUCUUCAAAUGCAUGUGCCCCGUUUAUUCAUCAUAUAAGCUUACCUGAAAUUCACCUUCCACUCUGCAGGAAAAGGAGACGUGCUUAAUUGCUCGGAGAAACAGAAUGACGACCUCUUCCACAGUGUUCUCGGCGGACUUGGUCAGUUUGGCAUCAUAACACGGGCAAGAAUAUCCCUGGAACCAGCACCUGAUAUGGUAAUAACAUUAACAAUAAGAGCAAGAACGAAAUUUGAAGCUCAAAGUUAAUUACUCACACUCUUUGUCACCUUCUCAAUUUCCAGGUGAAAUGGA
rnacentral:lncRNA from 1 species